rnacentral:rRNA from 1 species
GAUGAACGCUGGCGGCGUGCCUAAUACAUGCAAGUCGAGCGAACGGACGAGAAGCUUGCUUCUCUGAUGUUAGCGGCGGACGGGUGAGUAACACGUGGAUAACCUACCUAUAAGACUGGGAUAACUUCGGGAAACCGGAGCUAAUACCGGAUAAUAUUUUGAACCGCAUGGUUCAAAAGUGAAAGACGGUCUUGCUGUCACCUAUAGAUGGAUCCGCGCUGCAUUAGCUAGUUGGUAAGGUAACGGCUUACCAAGGCAACGAUGCAUAGCCGACCUGAGAGGGUGACCGGCCACACUGGAACUGAGACACGGUCCAGACUCCUACGGGAGGCAGCAGUAGGGAAUCUUCCGCAAUGGGCGAAAGCCUGACGGAGCAACGCCGCGUGAGUGAUGAAGGUCUUCGGAUCGUAAAACUCUGUUAUUAGGGAAGAACAGAUGUGUAAGUAACUGUGCACAUCUUGACGGUACCUAAUCAGAAAGCCACGGCUAACUACGUG